rnacentral:misc_RNA from 1 species
GGACAGGUAUGUUAUUCCUUUUCUUGUACUGUUGUGUCUCCAUCUUUAUGAAUUUUUUGGUUAAUUAAUUGAGCAUCUUUAAACACAGUCAAUAGGAAAUAUUUACAAAGUGAUGGGGUUUGUGUUGCAGUUGAGCUAUUCCUGCAUAUGGUUGCCUUUAAACUUUGGGACCAUUUGUAUUCCCUUUUGGUAACAUCAUCUUUUAAAGACUAGAUUAGAGCUAGUUGGUUCCUUCUCUUGUUUACUUGAAUGGUUGAAGUGGAUAUCAUCUAAAAGUAGAGACUGUACCAAAUAUGAAUUGCUUUCUUCUUCAUGAGGAGUAAGGAGAUUGAUUGACAUAAAUAAGCCAUCUAAGUAGAAGAUGAACUACAAACCAUAAUAAAUGGAACCAACCAGAAAAAAAAAUGAAGGUUAGUUGCUUUAGUGCAAGGCAGCGCUGUUGCAUCAAGUGAAUACCCUUUUUGUUUCCUAAAAAAUUAUUGCAAUUACAAUCUGGCCAGUUUUUCUUAUUUUUCUUCAAUAUGGUUCUUGUUUAUGUUAAACAAGUGGUUUUAUUAGAUAUAUGAACCAUGACCUUUCAGAUAUUAUUACUGUAACAUGAAUACAUGACUAUUUAUAUUACUCUUCCUAAGACAUUAAAGUGCACUUGAUCUUUAAUUGCUUUAGUUUUUGCUCAAAUUUCUGUGUUUAUUUUCUGUAUAUUCAUGUCUUUUUUCUAUCUAUUUGUAGAGCCAAUUGGCAGGAAAAUUAG